CCUACGGGAGGCAGCAGUGAGGAAUAUUGGUCAAUGGACGAGAGUCUGAACCAGCCAAGUAGCGUGAAGGUUGACUGCCCUAUGGGUUGUAAACUUCUUUUAUAUGGGAAUAAAAUGUUCCACGUGUGGGAUUUUGUAUGUACCAUAUGAAUAAGGAUCGGCUAACUCCGUGCCAGCAGCCGCGGUAAUACGGAGGAUCCGAGCGUUAUCCGGAUUUAUUGGGUUUAAAGGGAGCGUAGGUGGAUUGUUAAGUCAGUUGUGAAAGUUUGCGGCUCAACCGUAAAAUUGCAGUUGAAACUGGCAGUCUUGAGUACAGUAGAGGUGGGCGGAAUUCGUGGUGUAGCGGUGAAAUGCUUAGAUAUCACGAAGAACUCCGAUUGCGAAGGCAGUUCACUGGACUGCAACUGACACUGAGGCUCGAAAGUGUGGGUAUCAAACAGGAUUAGAUACCCGAGUAGUC
rnacentral:rRNA from 1 species